CCCUUAGAUGCUCUGGGCCGCACGCGCGCUACACUGGUCGAUGCAACGAGUUUCUUUCCUUGGCCGACAGGCCUGGGCAAUCUUUGAACAUCGAUCGUGAUCGGGAUAGAUUCUUGUAAUUUUUGAUCUUAAACGAGGAAUUCCUAGUAAACGCAAGUCAUCAGCUUGCAUUGAUUACGUCCCUGCCCUUUGUACACACCGCCCGUCGCACCUACCGAUUGAAUGGUCCGGUGAAAUCUCCGGACUGGCGUGAGUCGGAGCAAUCUGACAACCACCGGAAAGUUGAUUAAACCUUACCAUUUAGAGGAAGGUGAAGUCGUAACA
rnacentral:rRNA from 1 species